GCCUCCCCCAUUUUUCUUUUCCUUCACCCCGAACCUCACGCUCCAAACCUUAUCCCCUUUCUCCAGAUCCACAACACACACCGCCGCCCUAGGUGCCCUCUCCGGCCGGCCGCGGCGCUACGUGUCCAGCGAGGCUGCCACCACUCUAUUCCCCUCUUCCUCCCACCCCUCCAUCGUUAUCCCCACAUGGCCGCCAUUUUCCCACGCCUAGGUGGGCUUGUGUCGGCGCUGCCAUCACACAGGUGCCAACGGCGGUGCUUUUUGUUCUUACGCAAGCGCCCGGUGAUGCCACCUCUCACCUCUCUCUCAUGGCUCCACCGCCCCAACCCAGACCAGCUAGAUCUAUGUGGGACAACGUCCCUUCACUCCCAGUGGUCAGGUCCAAGGCACCCAUCCCCUGCUUCCUCUGCUUCGGGUGAUUAGGAGCUUGGUGGUAGGUGCCCCAGUCUCUCCCCACUUUAGGAUAACAGGAGCUAGCCAUACAUGGCAGAAACAACAUCGGGAAAUGAAUCUUUAGUAUGUUUGGGCAAAAAGGCCACCGGAAGAUGUCCAUAAGUCAUAUGCAUGCAUCACAUCGACUUGGUGCUUCUACUAUUUACUCUCUGAAGAACCUCUAUCACAAGAAUUCUUCUAUGGGGCGUCUGAACAAAAGGGGCAUCUUCGUCAUCCGGUCACUAAGGUAGUGGAGCAAGAUUUCUUAUAUCUGGGUGAGGGCAUCAAUCAAUCUUGGGGCAAGGAAUCUCAUCACUGCAAUAUAUAGCUACCACAUUGGACCAGGCGCGUUUAUCUUGAGCGUAGCUAGAUGGAAAAACAUCUUUCCUGAGCUGGCAUGUGAAGGAAGGAAACAAAAGGAUGACACUCACACGGAACCAUGAAGCCAACAAUCUACGUCAACUAGAUGUUUUAGAUUUCAUUUUGUACAACUGAUGUCUCAUCCUUGCAUCUUUUACCUGUCCUUUUGUGAACCUGAUGUAUGGUGUCUCGGUGGUUGUGUUUAGAACAGACUGAAGUGUAUGUAUGUGACAAAUGGUUAAUGGAAUAAAAAAAUGUUUGGUGCACCUGAUGUGAGCCUGAUGUAUGGUGUCUUUGUGAUUAUACUUAGAACACAUGAACUAUAUGUAUGUAACAAACAAUAGCAUACUUUAAAUAAAGUUGUGGUUGG
rnacentral:rRNA from 1 species